rnacentral:rRNA from 1 species
CAAUAGCGUAUAUUAAAGUUGUUACAGUUAAAAAGCUCGUAGUUGGAUUUCUGAUCGAGACAUCAGGUCGGGUCCGAGAGGAUCAUGUACUUUGAUUUUGUUUUGAUCAUCCUUGGGGAGAGCAUUUCUGGCAUUCAGUUGUCGGGAUUGGGAUCCUCAUCGUUUACUGUGAAAAAAUUAGAGUGUUCAAAGCAGGCCUCGGCCUCUGAAUACAUUAGCAUGGAAUAAUAAGAUAGGACUUUGGUGGUCUAUUUUGUUGGUUUGCACGCCAAAGUAAUGAUUAAUAGGGAUAGUUGGGGGUAUUCGUAUUCAAUUGUCAGAGGUGAAAUUCUUGGAUUUAUGGAAGACGAACUACUGCGAAAGCAUUUACCAAGGAUGUUUUCAUUAA